rnacentral:rRNA from 1 species
CUACGGAGGGUGCGAGCGUUAAUCGGAAUUACUGGGCGUAAAGCGUGCGUAGGCGGUUUGCUAAGUCAGAUGUGAAAGCCCCGGGCUUAACCUGGGAACUGCAUUUGAUACUGGCAGACUAGAGUAUGAUAGAGGGGGGUAGAAUUCCUGGUGCAGCGGUGAAAUGCGUAGAUAUCAGGAGGGAUACCAGUGGCGAAGGCGGCCCCCUGGAUCAAUACUGACGCUGAGGUACGAAAGCGUGGGGAGCGAACAGGAUUAGAAACCCUAGUAGUCC